AUCCAGCUGACUAGUCUCAAAUAGGACUAAACGCGCGUCCUGGAU
rnacentral:hammerhead_ribozyme from 1 species